GAAAAAAGCAACAGGAGUCCAUCCCAUUCUCUUGAGACAACAGGUUCACUGAUCACAGAGAAAAUUUCUUUUCCCUCAGAGUUUAGGCACCUUCAGGUCUGUGCUGUCACCAAUAUCCUUACUGCUACUGCCAUGGAGCAGGGAUUCAAGAUAACCAAAGGAAGACAAAGAAAAUACAGAAUUAUCUACAAUAGCCAAGAAGUGGAAGCAACCCAAGUGUCCACCAAACGACAGAUGGAUAAAGAAAAUGAGGGACAAAAUGGCAGCAGCCAGCCUGACCAUUCCCUUCCCAUCAUGAGGGAGAGGGCUGUGGUAUGGACAGCAGCAGCUGACUGGCCACAGGUGCAGCCACUGCCAUCCAGCCCCGACUCAUUCCUAGAAUAAGAACCACCAGACUGCCCUCUGACACCUGCCUCAGCGGUCCCCACCACUCCUCAAACCCUGUCACCGUCCACAGACAAGCCCUGGAGGGGUGGGGAAAAGGUUUCAUUGUGAGAAACCACUGGGGAUCCUGAAGUUAAAACUCAUCAAAGUGUGGGGAAAACUAAGACUGGCCUAGCAGGAUUUUUACUCUCAAGCUAAUCUACACUCAACCUCAAAGAAUUUAUUAAAAUUCACAUUUAACCAUCUUAUCAGUAUACAUCUUCAAGAGCUUUCGUUUCUGGUACAAAAGUUUCAGCUGCAGUUACUUGUAUUCAUCUGUCUCUUCAGAUUUCGAGGUGGUGGUCUGUCUUGUGAGCUCAAGUCUCUGGUGAUUCUAAUAAAUGUCAUUGAUUUUUUAAGUCUUCUCAGAUUUAUUUCUUGUUUUUAGGAUGGGAGUGGUGACUUCCAAGCUUUUUACAUGUGAAAGGUAAACCAAAGUCAACGUGAAUCUCCUCUUCAUGUCUACAACUGAGCAACAGGUUUUUCAAACCUUGUAGCUCAACCCCUACUAUCUGACAGUCUUUCAGACACAGCUAAGAGUCUAUAUAUCUUUCUGUUUCACAACCUCGCUCUGAUACUCUCUGUGUGUUUCAUCAUUCUAUCUUUUAGCAUGGUUAGGAUGAUCCUCACCUAGAAUGGAGAAACCUCCAGAGAUUUGAAUCUGAGAAAACUAAGUUUCCUUGAUUCUUCAGUGUUUUUUCUGACUACUCAAUAGCAG
rnacentral:lncRNA from 10 species